CGGGCUGUAGCUCAGUGGUGGAGCGUUUGCCGAGGAUGCACAAGGCCCUGGGUUCCGUCCCCAGUGGCACUA
rnacentral:tRNA from 1 species